AGCGUUUGUCUAGGGAUACAGAGGGUUUAGGAAGAAGUUUGGUGCCAUGCGUGUUUAGUGAAGUAACAGCAGCCUCAUCUCCAAUCUGGAGGUGGUUGAUUACGACCCAGUAACAGUCGUGCCGCUACUGCACCACUGCAUGCAUCUGGACUGGCAGGUUGCACUGUUGUUUGCGGGGUUCACAUUUGGGUAAGGCCAUUCAUGCCUUCUCCCUCAGCAGCCUGCCCUGGCACCUUUUCACACUUUAUAUCUACUUACGGGAGAAUUUCAACAUUAAACACCUUUUACUGAAUUUCCACUUCUGCAUAAGUAUAAGGACCUUGAAACAGCCCCAUCUCAGCUGUUUUCAAGAAGACGGUGAUGAUUAUGAUGAUGACAAAGAUGAAGGGUGGCAGCCAUGUCCUUUGAUGAUCGAGGAGAAGCGUACUGUCUGGAAAGCUCUUGUCAGAGUGUCUAGACAAUGCUAAAGACAUGGUGUUUCAUGGUUAUCACAGAGGCAUUACGGUCAGCUUUUGGCUCCAGUUUUCCAAUAAGAAGAAAGGACCUAUUGGGACAAACAGUACAGGCUUUCAUGGGUCAAGGGUAAAGUGACAUGUCUUCAUAUUCCAUUGAAGAGAAUUUAGUCAUUUUCCUACAUGGGAAGCUGAGAGAUAAAGUCUGUGACUCUGAAGAAAAGGAAUGGAUUUGUUGUUGUUGUUGUUGUUAACAGCCAGCAUUUCACAGAUGGCUCCUAUGACCCUCAUUUCCUACGUCAAACAUUCACAGAUUGUGCAGGGAAGAGAAAAAUCUAUUCCCCUUUCUUCAUUAUUGCGUUCAUCUCAAAAUCCUGGGCCUCUAAAUGGUACCCAGAACUCUUCUCAAAUGCCCAAAUAUUGUUCUUCAAGGUCUACUGUCUUUUGAACUAAAAGAUAAGUUAUCAGGUUAUACCCAGCAAAGAAAUAGACAAGAUACCUCAACAGACCCUGAAAACAGUUUCUAUUCUAUAGUGGAAUGGCAGCAUCCUGUUGGUGAGGUGUAUUGGUUAGUUCUUGUCAAGUCGACCCAGACUAGAAGUACCUAGAAAGAGAGAAUCUCAAUCCAGUAAUUGCUUCCAUCAGACUUGUCUGUGGCAACAUCACUACUGCACUUUCUUAAUUUCUAAUUGGCCCAGGAGAUCCCAGCCCACUACUGGUGGUGAUGUCCCUAGGCAGGUGGGCCUGACCUGGAUGAGAAAGACAGUAACUCAGAGGGAGCGAGCCAAUAAGCUGCAUUCCUCCCUGGUCUCUGCUUCAGGUCCUGCCUCCAGCUCCCCAUCCUGAGGUCCUCCCUCUUUGGUUUCCCUCAGUGAUGGACUGUAAGCUGUAAGAUUUAAGCCAAAUAAACCAUUUCCUCCCCCAAGUUGUCUUUGGUCAGAGUUUUAGUCCAACCACACAGAAGCGAAAAUAGGACGGAGGUGUUGAUUGUGAAGUACUCCGUGCCCUAGAGCAGUGGUUCUCGACCUUCCUAAUGCUGGGACACUUUUACUCAGUUCUUCAGGUUGUGGUGACCCAACUAUAAAAUUAUCUUCAUUUCUGUUUCACAACUAUAAUUUUGCUACUGCUAUGAAUUGCAAUGUAAAUAUUUAUGCUUCCUGAUAGUCUUAGGCGACCCCUGUGAAAAGAUGGUUCAACCCACAAAAGGGAUCACAACCCAAAGGUUGAGAACCCUUGCUUUAUAGCCACGUGAGAGGUGGAUAUUGCAGAGUGUGCUGUAAGGAGUUGGCGUGUUUUUUUUUUUUUUUUUUUAGAACCUGCUGCUUUCUGUUGUAUGAGGGUGAUUUUACAUCGUCAGUCUUGUGGUUUCUUGAACACUAUGGUUUUCUUGAAAUCUUCAUCAGCUUCUGACCUGCUUCCUCCCAAGUUCACACACUGCUAACUAGACCACAAAUGAUGUUCUCAGCCUUCUGUAGACGUGCUUCCUUCAUCUAGCUCACCAUCAUGGAAUACCCAUUGACGUGCUGAGAUAGACUUUGACAAAAGUGGUGCCCUUGAUGUUAUCUGGGUGACGGGGCUGGAUUUCCUUUUCUCUUUGGCCUAAAUAUCUUACCUUUAGUCAUUUGAUGUACAGAAAUCAUUAGUUUCCUCAGUCCUAAGAAGCCUUGUAGGUUUUUUUUAAUUAAUUUUAAUUGUAUUUAUUUUAAUACAUUUUAGUAAAAAUAAUUUUAAUUCA